GGGGAUGUAGCUCAGCUGGGAGAGCGCGGCGUUCGCAACGCCGAGGCCACGAGUUCGAUCCUCGUCAUCUCCACCA
rnacentral:tRNA from 1 species